GUCCCCAUCGUCCAGCGGUCAGGACGCAGCCCUUUCAAGGCUGAGACUCGGGUUCGAUUCCCGAUGGGGACGCCA
rnacentral:tRNA from 1 species